rnacentral:rRNA from 1 species
UACGUAGGGGGCAAGCGUUGUCCGGAUUUAUUGGGCGUAAAGAGCGUGUAGGCGGCCAAGCAGGUCCGCUGUGAAAACUCGAGGCUCAACCUCGAGACGUCGGUGGAAACCGUUUGGCUAGAGUACGGAAGAGGCGAGUGGAAUUCCUGGUGUAGCGGUGAAAUGCGCAGAUAUCAGGAGGAACACCGGUGGCGAAGGCGGGUCUCUGGGCCGAUGACUGACGCUGAGGAGCGAAAGCGUGGGGAGCGAACAGG